AUACUUACCUGGCAGGGGAGAUACCACUAUUCACGAAGGUGGUUUUCCCAGGGCGAGGGUUAUCCAUUGCACUCCGGAUGUGCUGACCCCUGUGAUUUCCCCAAAUGUGGAAAACUCGACUGCUAAAGA
rnacentral:snRNA from 1 species